rnacentral:rRNA from 1 species
GACGAACGCUGGCGGCGUGCCUAAUACAUGCAAGUAGAACGCACAGUUUAUACCGUAGCUUGCUACACCAUAGACUGUGAGUUGCGAACGGGUGAGUAACGCGUAGGUAACCUGCCUGGUAGCGGGGGAUAACUAUUGGAAACGAUAGCUAAUACCGCAUAAUAUUAAUUAUUGCAUGAUAAUUAAUUGAAAGGUGCAAUUGCACCAAUACCAGAUGGACCUGCGUUGUAUUAGCUAGUAGGUGAGGUAACGGCGCACCUAGGCGACGAUACAUAGCCGACCGGGGAGGGUGGUCGGCCACACUGGGACUGAGACACGGCCCAGACUCCUACGGGAGGCAGCAGUAGGGAAUCUUCGGCAAUAGACGAAAGUCUUACCGAGCAACGCCGCGUGAGUGAAGAAGGUUUUCGGAUCGUAAAGCUCUGUUGUAAGAGAAGAACGGGUGUGAGAGUGGAAAGUUCACACUGUGACGGUAUCUUACCAGAAAGGGACGGCUAACUACGUG